GAAAUGCGAUAAGUAAUGUGGAUUGCAGAAUUCCGUGAAUCAUCGAAUCUUUGAACGCACAUUGCGCCCUCUGGCAUUCCGGGGGGGAUGCCUGUCCGAGCGUCAUUACGCACCCUCAAGCCCGGCUUGUGUGAUGGGCCCCGGCGUCUCGUUCGCGAGACGGGCCCGAAAGGCAGCGGCGGCGUCGACCCGAUGAGCCCGAGCGUAUGGGGACUUCUGUCACACGUUCGCGGUGCGGACCGGCGCCUGCUUGACUUUUCUGAUUAUCCAGGUUGACCUCGGAUCAGGUAGGGAUACCCGCUGAACUUAAGC
rnacentral:misc_RNA from 1 species